rnacentral:lncRNA from 1 species
UGCCUUUCCGUCUAUACGGAGACCCAACAACAUGUACACGUCCUCAAGUGUGACGGUACACUCACCAAUCGGAAGGUGAAAUGUGUGGGUCUCGGAUCUAUACGGAGACCCAACAACAUGUACACGUCCUCAAGUGUGACGGUACACUCACCAAUCGGAAGGUGAAAUGUGUGGGUCUCGGGUCUCCACCUCUCCAACAAAGCCAGAAUGAACUUGUAGUCCAUCGAGUACGAAACAAUGUUUAGUAGAUUUCCAAAUCCACAUCCUCUAAUAUAUGUUUCUAUUAAAGGAUCGUGGGGUACAUAUUCAUGUAUACGGCAUCUAAACCGCUUCGGAUCCUAAUAACAAAAAAGUAAGAAAAU